rnacentral:misc_RNA from 1 species
UCUGUAUAUUGUCUGUGUAAUCUGUGUGAGUUUAAUGUUAUGAGAUGAUAUCAGCACUUUCACGCAUUAUCGACUUCCUCGUUCAUACAGAGACACAUCAAGCGCGUACAGUGUUUAUUUGUUGUUCAUUGGUAUUGUUGUUUUACUCAUCAGCUAUUGGUUAUGCAGAAGAUACACCUGAAUUCAGUUUUGCAAGGUACGCAAAUUUCGUGGAAAGAGAAGGUUGGGGAGCAGUGCCGCCUAAAGUGUACCCUAAGCUGGAGAAAUUGUCACUACCAGUGGCCUUCGUAGUGCUCUCGUACUUCAUUCCUAGUAUCACGGACGAUGUUUUGGCCUUGCAGGUUAUACAGAGAAAUCACAUGGAUGCAGGUCUGCCAGAUAUUCAGAGCAAGGAGAAAUGGAACAAUUUACGUGGGAAGAGGCUGGAAAAUAAAACCUGCUAGAUCAUUGGACUUUCCGCAUUAUGAUGGCAAAUUUAUUGAGAUAGCCUACAUUGGAAAUUUUAACGAUGAACCAAUGUUACAUCCAAUAUAUAAUGCCACCUGGGAUCUUUUAAAAUUUGGCAUAUUUAAUAAAUAUAUAGUGGAAGAUUUUGUAAUUUUAACUGAAAAGCAUCGGAAAAUAGCAGAUUGAUAAACAGGUGUUUUAGUGAUAAAGUACAAUCUUGGAAGUAGUUAUAUUCCAUUAAGAAUAAAAGAUUCACAUUCUUUAUG